rnacentral:rRNA from 1 species
AGAGUUUGAUCCUGGCUCAGAACGAACGCUGGCGGCGUGGAUAAGACAUGCAAGUCGAACGCGAUUUUCUCGGUUAGCAAUAACUGAGAAAAUUGAGUGGCGAAUGGGUGCGUAACACGUGGGAAUUUAUCCGGAAGUGGGGGAUAGCUUGCCGAAAGGCAAAUUAAUACCGCAUAUGCCCGUAAGGGCAAAGUGGGGGACCGCAAGGCCUCACGCUAUCGGAGGAGCCCGCGCCCUAUCAGCUAGUUGGUGAGGUAAUGGCUCACCAAGGCUUAGACGGGUAGCUGGUCCGAGAGGACGACCAGCCACACUGGAACUGAGACACGGUCCAGACACCUACGGGUGGCAGCAGUCGAGGAUUUUUCUCAAUGGGGGCAACCCUGAAGGAGCGACGCCGCGUGGAGGAUGAAGGGCUUCGGCUCGUAAACUCCUGUCACCGACGAACAAGGCAUCCGAACUAAUAAAUCGGAUGCUUGAUGGUAGUCGGAGAGGAAGGGGCGGCUAACUCUGUGCCAGCAGCCGCGGUGAUACAGAGGCCCCAAGCGUUGUUCGGAUUUACU